GACGAAGGGGGCUAGCGUUGUUCGGAAUUACUGGGCGUAAGCGCGUGUAGGCGGUUAUCCUAGUCGGGCGUGAAAGCCUUGAGCUCAACUCAAGAAAUGCGCUCGAUACUGGGUGGCUAGAGGACCGGAGAGGAUAGUGGAAUUCCCAGUGUAGUGGUGAAACACGUAGAGAUUGGGAAGAACACCAGUGGCGAAGGCGGCUAUCUGGACGGUUACUGACGCUAAGACGCGAAAGCGUGGGGAGCAAACAGG
rnacentral:rRNA from 1 species